rnacentral:tRNA from 1 species
GCCUUCGUGGUGUAGUUGUCAGCACACUCGACGCGAGAGAUCCGUGGUUCGAGUCCCGGCGAGGGCA